UUUUGGAAAAUAACAAUAAAAAAUUAUAUAAAACUGAGUCAAAAAAAAAUACAUGAAUUUAACCAUCGAGUUAUUCCAAAAUCGUCGCGGAUAUUGUGAAUGCAACAACAACACUGAACACGAAACAAUUGCCGCGAGAGUUGAUCGAAGACUAUUUUAAGUGCAAUGGUUUCACACGCUCAUUACUCAAAGCCGAUUGGAGCAGAGAGCUGCAGGAGUUUCCCGCUCUAUAAGCAAUUAUUUGCAUAUCCCUAAUCAUGAGCUUGCUUGGCCUUUGUAUAGCCAAUAAAUACGCUCCAUACCCGCACCGCCGAAAAGGGCGGUCGCACAAAGCCACCAAACAACACCAUUGUUUGCCCAUCAAAGCCAAUUAAUGUCGCACUCAAAGGACUCACGUUUAUAGCAGCUUUUGUCAUUACUUCAGAGCUUUCCGCUCUUUUUGGUUAUUCCAACCAAAUUUGAAUUUAUUAGCCUGCUUGGCAAACACCUUCGACACAAGCCACCCGCAAUGCACAAAGGAAGCGAUCCGCUGGCAAAAAAAAAAAAAAAAAAAA